rnacentral:tRNA from 1 species
GCGGGUGUAGUUCAAUGGUAGAACGGUAGCUUCCCAAGCUACAUACGAGGGUUCGAUUCCCUUCACCCGCU